UGGGGAAUAUUGCACAAUGGGGGAAACCCUGAUGCAGCGACGCCGCGUGAGCGAAGAAGGUUUUCGAAUCGUAAAGCUCUGUCCUAUGAGAAGAUAAUGACGGUAUCAUAGGAGGAAGCCCCGGCUAAAUACGUGCCAGCAGCCGCGGUAAUACGUAUGGGGCGAGCGUUGUCCGGAAUUAUUGGGCGUAAAGGGUACGUAGGCGGUCUAUUAAGUCAGGUGUGAAAGCGUGAGGCUUAACCUCAUUAAGCACUUGAAACUGAUAGACUUGAGUGAAGGAGAGGAAAGUGGAAUUCCUAGUGUAGCGGUGAAAUGCGUAGAUAUUAGGAGGAAUACCGGUGGCGAAGGCGACUUUCUGGACUUUUACUGACGCUCAGGUACGAAAGCGUGGGUAGCAAACAGG
rnacentral:rRNA from 1 species